UUCCAAAGUGUUGAGUUCAGUUCAGGGCAGCUUCCCUGUUCUGCUAAUUAAACUUUGGGACAUUAAAACAGGCUUGGGUAAAUGACUGGGUAGAAAAUAUUAUUCUAUUCACUUUGUUCCCUGCCUACAUUU
ensembl:snoRNA